ensembl:snoRNA
UGGAGGACUGAGAAGGUUGAGCAGCUUGUGCUGUUAUAACUGGUUAUAACCUCCAAGAGUAACCCACAAACC